ensembl:lncRNA
AUGAGGAACAGCUCUGCCGGUACCAAAGUGCCCUGCAGGAGGUGCUCUAGGCAAGCAGCGGAAGCUCCCUGCAGCCCAGAAAAGGCCUACGGAGGAGUAGGCUGUCGCCUGCAGCCCACAGACAUCACGUGGAGCAGAUCUCCUAGUGCAGCCGUGGACGAGCCCCUACAGGAGCAGCCUCGGCUGGAACUGCACCCUAUGUGGAGGAGCCCUGGCAGGGCAAGAGGGGGGGAACUGCUGCUUGUGGAGCAGUGUGCUCCUGAAGGUGGGCUUUGUGAAAGGGGAGCCAUGUCAGAGCACUGCUUGAUGAGCUGCGCCCUUGGGAAGCUGACACAGGAAAGGGAGAGGAGAAAGUUCUAUUUGGACUUGAGAUUGUAGUGGGAGUUUUAAUGAAGUGGAUGCGGAAGGGUGAAUUCCUGUCGUGUUCUUUUGGACACACUUGCUGAAAAGUGAGGAAGGAGAAUCACAGAUGAUUGAGGCACUGUUAUUUGCAGUCUACGUUCUUGGAAAUGAUCAUUUAUUCUGCACACCAUAUGUACACCUCACAUAAUCUAGUCUUUUCUGUACCUGUAUUCUGUAUCCCACUUUUAAGCCUUCCCCAAUCCUUUUAUCUCUGAGGUGCAUACUUAAAGGCAUUCUUGCCCUUAAUUAACUAAGCAAUUAAAAAUCUAUUUAAAAAAACCCACAAACAUUAAUGUGCUGCAUUAAACUUGCCUACUUUUUUCCUAUUGUAGCAGUGGGUAAUAAACAGUAAUCUGCAGGUGUCUUAGAUGUCUGACUGAGACAUUUCAUCUCUAAAUUAAUAUUUGAAGUGGCAGAUACUCAAUCCAGUAUAAUAAUUCAUCAAUGACACUGUGAAACAUAUUCCAGCUUCAUCUUUAGCAUUAAGUCUUUUUUUUUUUUUUACCUUUCCCUUAAGCUCACUGUUGAGAUGUAUUCCUUGAGUCAAUAUAUAUAUAUUUUUGUAACAUCAAAAACGUUGAAUUGAUUAGGAGGGUUUAUCUUGGAUUCAAGGACCGUAUUAU